GAUUUUCUAGAAGAGGACCUAAGAACGCUAAAGGUUCGUCAGCCAAGGAGAAAGGGAUCAAUAUCUGAGAACGCCAGAUUUUUGCCUUCUCUUCUGCAAAUGGAGGCUCAGGGACGUACUCCUUACCAUCGAUGGUCAGAGGAUGUGUGAGUUUAGUAGCGGAGGGAAAUGCUUUACUUUUACUGGAGCUAGCCAUGGAAGAAAUGGAAGUUUUUU
rnacentral:lncRNA from 1 species